CGGACGGGUGAGUAACGCGUGGGUAACCUGCCUUGUACUGGGGGAUAACAGUCAGAAAUGACUGCUAAUACCGCAUAAGACCACAGCACCGCAUGGUGCAGGGGUAAAAACUCCGGUGGUACAGGAUGGACCCGCGUCUGAUUAGCUGGUUGGUGAGGUAACGGCUCACCAAGGCGACGAUCAGUAGCCGGCUUGAGAGAGUGAACGGCCACAUUGGGACUGAGACACGGCCCAAACUCCUACGGGAGGCAGCAUG
rnacentral:rRNA from 1 species